UGCUUAGUUCUUUCUACCCCUGUAGGUAAAGCACAAGCUUUUACUCCCAAAUUAGUGAGCGGCAGAGUUGAACUGUCGGGGAUUAUGUAAGGAGAAAGAUGAUCGUGAUAAGGGAAAACACUAACAGACCAUGUCCUCUCCUUAACCCUGCUCGGCAGAGGGUGUCUGCAGCUGGAACAGCCCCCCACCCCCGUCUGUGUGCGGAAGUGAGCUGAAGCAGAGAAAAAGGUGGCGUGUGGAGGCAAUAAGGACCUGGCUGUUCUCUGCUUUGUUUACUCAGGUCAAAUAAUCCAGACAACUGAUAUACCUGCAGUCUUCCCUGCUGUCGUCCAUGUGCUGCAGGUUGGAGUGGAGAAAGGGUGUCACUGGAGUCCACACAAGGGCAGUUAUUUUGAGGCUUUGACGACCACAUUGGGCAGCGCCAUCACCAGUUUAUUGACUUAAAGUACACACUGGGAGCAAAUAACAGUGAGAGAACCACCCCCCCCGUUGUUAAGUAAAGCCAGUAAAAAUGACAAAUUGGUGAAAACUGGGCUC